UACGUAGGGUGCAAGCGUUGUUCGGAAUUAUUGGGCGUAAAGAGCUCGUAGGCGGUUUGUUGAGUCGGAUGUGAAAUCCCGAGGCUCAACCUCGGGUCUGCAGUCGAUACGAGCAAACUAGAGUGUUGUAGGGGAGACUGGAAUUCCUGGUGUAGCGGUGAAAUGCGCAGAUAUCAGGAGGAACACCGGUGGCGAAGGCGGGUCUCUGGGCAACAACUGACGCUGAGGAGCGAAAGCGUGGGGAGCGAACAGG
rnacentral:rRNA from 1 species